rnacentral:lncRNA from 1 species
CCACCAAGUCUGCUCUGUCCAGAGAAUCAAGUGCCAGUGGUGACCAUGCUCACAAUUCUUUACCCCACCAUAGCCAGAACAUUCUAGGGAGUUGCUGGCCUAUAUGAAGCUUGUUCCAUAAUCAUCUCAGAACUCCUACCAGAAAGAGUGAAGAUUCAAGAUGAAGCGUUGACUGAAGAGGAGGCUACUCCAGUGUCUGCUCAUCAAGUGGAUGGAGCUAACUAACUGAUGAUUGGGUAGAAGGAUCUAGGCCUCUUCACUACAAUAAGGCAAGCCCCGGUGCAUGCAACCCCUUCCUUGUGUUUUUAAAUACUUUUCGCACACUUAAGUCUAGUGAAAUGUGCAUUAGGUUUAUAGGAGUUGCUUGAAACCCUUUGAUGCAUUGCCUUCCUUGAUAUCCAUACUUUUAUAGAUACUUCUGGUGAAGUAUCAAAAUUUGAUUUACAAAAAUGCUUAGCCCUGCUUAGAUCUUGUGGAUAGAGGUUGUCUUUUACAAUACUGCCUAGCUCAGGGGUUAUACUGAGGAAAGAUGGCUUCUACAUGCAAGAAUACUUUCAUUGAGAGCGUGGUGGGAUCUUACUGCAAAGCUCCCUGUGAUGCUCUUUUCAUCCUAAGGAACAGAAACAAUCCUAAGGAUGGAAGUACUUAAAUCGAGACUUGGGUUAGGAACAGGUGAUGUUCUACCCAGGUUGAUUAAGGAUUGGAUGCGUAUGUAGGCCUGCUAGCGCAAGGACUAUCUUAGCUAGCCGCAUACCCUGGAAAUGGGACAGGGUAAGCUUUGCCUCGGGCAGACUAAGGCCAGAAUAAGAUAACACGAAAUGGGUGUGGAGCGGUGGCGGGAGUAGCGUGUACCCUCCGUGGCAAGAGGCUAGACGGUGGUGUAUCUGUGCUCUCGGUUUGCGUGAACCUGAUCUGGUCUUAAGAACCCUGGGGUCGAGUUGACAUAUGCAAGGAUUAAGUGCUACAUAUGUCGUGUGGUUAGAGAUCCUCAGCUGAGUAAAUCGAUUCGGAUCGCCGUUAUAUCCCCGGAGAGUGGAGACUUGAUCACUGACCUACAAC